GAUGAAGAACGCAGCGAAAUGCGAUACUUGGUGUGAAUUGCAGAAUCCCGUGAACCAUCGAGUCUUUGAACGCAAGUUGCGCCCGAAGCCAUCAGGUUGAGGGCACGUCUGCCUGGGCGACACAUAUCGUUGCCCAAUGCCUAUUGCAGUGCAAUAGGAAUUUCUAGGGCGAAUGAUGGCUUCCCGUGAGCGUUGUUGCCUCGCGGUUGGUUGAAAAUCGAGUCCUUGGUAGGGUGUGCCAUGGUAGAUGGUGGUCGAGUUAGAACGAUACCGAUCAUGUGCAUGCUCCCCAAAAUAUGGCCUCUAUGACCCACACGCGUCUUUUGACGCUCAUGACGAGACCUCAGGUCAGGCGGGGCUACCCGCUGAAUUUAAGCAUAUCAAUAAGCGGAGGA
rnacentral:misc_RNA from 1 species